GUGCUUGCUUCAGCAGCACAUAUACGAAAAUUGGAAUGAUACAGAGAAAAUUAGCAUGGCCCCUGCGCAAGGGUGAUGUGCAAAUUCGUGAAGUAUUCCAUAUUAAA